rnacentral:misc_RNA from 1 species
GUUCCCUGAAAAUUGGGGCGGCCCCAUCGCAUACCGCACAGGCCGAGAUGCCUCGAUUCCAGAAGGUAUCCGAACCAGGGAAGUUAAGGCGCUUGGCAAUGGCGCCGGUGGCGACGAUGACAGAAUCAGCGAGGACGGCCUUGGAAUCGGUGAACACCUUGAAGGGAUUGGAGGAAAAAUCGACCUUGUUAACGGUUUCGGUGAAGAUCUGGGUACCGAAGCGAAUGGAUUGGGCGCGGCAUCGGUCCAUAAGCUCGCCGCCCUGAAUCCCCUCAGGGAAACCGGGGAAGUUCUCGACCUCGGAGGUGGUAGUAAGCUGGCCACCAGGAGCGAUGUCGUUGGCCAUCCAACCCUCAAAAAGAAUGGGCUUCAGCUCGGCACGGGCAGCGUAGA